rnacentral:rRNA from 1 species
GGAUUAGAUACCCUGGUAGUCCACGCCGUAAACGAUGUGUGCUAGCUGUUGGAAACCUUCGGUUUUCAGUGGCGCAGCUAACGCAUUAAGCACACCGCCUGGGGAGUACGGUCGCAAGAUUAAAACUCAAAGGAAUUGACGGGGGCCCGCACAAGCGGUGGAGCAUGUUGUUUAAUUCGAAGCAACGCGAAGAACCUUACCUACCCUUGACAUCCUGGUCGGGGAGUACAGAGAUGUACUCUUUCAUUUAGUUGGACCAGUGACAGGUGAUGCACGGCUGUCGUCAGCUCGUGUCG